GACCCCAGGUCAGGCGGGGACACCCGCCGAGCUUAAGCAUAUCAAUAAGCGGAGGAGAGGAAACUUACGAGGAUUCCCCUAGUAACGGCGAGCGAACCGGGACCAGCCCAACU
rnacentral:rRNA from 1 species